rnacentral:rRNA from 1 species
UACGUAGGGGGCAAGCGUUGUCCGGAUUUAUUGGGCGUAAAGAGCGUGUAGGCGGCCAGACAGGUCCGUUGUGAAAACUCGAGGCUCAACCUCGAGACGUCGAUGGAAAACGUCUGGCUAGAGUCCGGAAGAGGAGUGUGGAAUUCCUGGUGUAGCGGUGAAAUGCGCAGAUAUCAGGAAGAACACCUAUGGCGAAGGCAGCACUCUGGGACGGUACUGACGCUGAGACGCGAAAGCGUGGGGAGCGAACAGG